rfam:Enterocytozoon bieneusi H348 ctg01_253, whole genome shotgun sequence.
AAUUACGGCCAUAUCCUCAGAUAAGCUCCAGUACCCAUCAGAACACUGAAGAUAAGCCUGUGCGAGCCUAUAUAAGUACUAAGUUGAGAGAUCACUUGGGAACAUUGGGUGCUGUAAUUU